AACCCAGGUGGAGCGCGACAAGCGAGCACUUCCUUUUCUUCUGGAAAUCGGUGAUACAUCCUUCCUUUGUUUAUUUCCAGAGUUUAGUGUGCAGCGCUACAUUUCCCUGUACAUUGGUCACGCCAUAUAAAGUGCGCUCCACGGGUAUCACCGUGUACAGUGAUCAUCUAGUCCCUGACGAUGGACAAGCUGGUUCUCUUCCUCGUCGUGGUGCUGGCCGUGGUCACGGUUACCCAGGGGUUCGUCAUUGACCCCCUGUUCGGAGGCUUCGGGCUCGGAGGAUUCGGAUUCGGCUCACCAUUCUUCGGCGGAGGACUGAUUGGCGGCGCCCCUCUGCUCCAUCACCACAUCGGAUCUCCAGUCGUCCAGCCCCUCGUCAUUCAACUGCCCUAAAAUCUGCAAACGGCAGGGCGGCAGAAAACUCACAUGGUGCUCAUCGUAAAUCACCUCGGUCUCAUUGGCCUGUGAUAACACCAACUCAGAACAAGUCGUAGUGACGUAGACAGUAGAUAAUAAUCUGAUUUCUUCAUUCCGAUCUCCAGUGUUUCACUGCUAGACUACAGCUUUGUCUGAAAGUGGACCGGUUGUGUUUCUAUGCCUAACUGUCAAACUGUUUGGCGCAGUAUUAGUUCAAUAAAUGUAUUGACACCG